UCUCAGUUCGGAUUGAAGGCUGAAAUUCGCCUUCAUGAAGCCGGAAUUGCUAGUAAUGGCAGGUCAGCAUACUGCCGUGAAUACGUUCCCGGGCCUUGUACACACCGCCCGUCACACCAUGAGAGUUGGGAAUACCCGAAGCCUGUGAGCUAACUUUUAGAGGCAGCAGUCGAAGGUAGAAUCAAUGAUUGGGGUGAAGUCGUAACAAGGUAAC
rnacentral:rRNA from 1 species